ensembl:misc_RNA 7SK 7SK RNA
GGGUGUGAAGGGGUGCAGGCUGCAACAGCCACCACCCCUUAAUGCCAGGCUGGCUUUGUCUGUUCUGGCUGGCUAGCCUCUUCUGCCCUCACUUCCCCAUGUGCCUCUGCUGCAGGCUGUCAAAGAAGGCAGACUUCCCUGAUGACUGAGCUGUUCUUUGAUGAAGAACGCGCUCUUCUUGGGGGGGUGGGCAGUUAAGCCCAAUAGCAUCAGGGACCUCUUAGAAUACAUCAGUUCCAGCACAUUUGUGACCCUGGGAAAUUACAC